rnacentral:rRNA from 1 species
CCUACGGGCGGCAGCAGUGGGGGAUAUUGCACAAUGGGGGAAACCCUGAUGCAGCGAUGCCGCGUGAAUGAAGACGGCCUUCGGGUUGUAAAGUUCUGUCGCAGGGGACGAAAAUGACGGUACCCUGCAAGAAAGCUCCGGCUAACUACGUGCCAGCAGCCGCGGUAAUACGUAGGGAGCAAGCGUUAUCCGGAUUUAUUGGGUUUAAAGGGUGCGUAGGCGGUCGGAUAAGUUAGAGGUGAAAUCCCGAGGCUCAACUUCGGAAUUGCCUCUGAUACUGUUCGGCUAGAGAGUAGUUGCGGUAGGCGGAAUGUAUGGUGUAGCGGUGAAAUGCUUAGAGAUCAUACAGAACACCGAUUGCGAAGGCAGCUUACCAAGCUACUUCUGACGUUGAGGCACGAAAGCGUGGGGAGCAAACAGGAUUAGAUACCCUAGUAGUC